AUUGAACGCUGGCGGCAGGCCUAACACAUGCACGUCGAACGAGUGGCGGACGGGAGAGUAAUGUCUGGGAAACUGCCUGAUGGAGGGGUCUAACUACUGGAAACGGUAGCUAAUACCGCAUACCAUCGGUUCUGCCCAGAUGGGAUUAGCUAGUCGGUGGGGUAACGGCUCACCUAGGCGACGAUCCCUAGCUGGUCCGAGAGGAUGACCAGCCACACUGGAACUGAGACACGGUCCAGACUCCUACGGGAGGCAGCAGUGGGGAAUAUUGCACAAUGGGCGCAAGCCUGAUGCAGCCAUGCCGCGUGUGUGAAGAAGGCCUUCGGGUUGUAAAGUACUUUCAGCGGGGAGGCGUUACCCGCAGAAGAAGCACCGGCUAACUCCGUGCCAGCAGCCGCGGUAAUUC
rnacentral:rRNA from 1 species